CACCGCGGUUAUACGAGAGACCCGAGUUGAUAGACACCGGCGUAAAGAGUGGUUAAGAUGAAUUUGUACUAAAGCCGAACACCUUCAAAGCUGUUAUACGCACCCGAAGGCAAGAAGUCCACUCACGAAAGUGGCUUUACAAUAUCUGAACCCACGAAAGCUAUGACA
rnacentral:rRNA from 1 species